CUUCGAUACUUUGUUUACGUUUUAUGUGGAAUUGUGGUAAGAUUGUAUAUGGAAAAUCUUGCGGAAUUGAUAAGGACCGCUCUUCAUAUUUAAUUUUUUUUUUCUUGCUGUAUACGAGAGUGGACGCAAUAUGAAUAAAUCUCUAUGCUACAGUCAAUUAUUUCCAUUAUUCGAAUUAAUUCAUCUUGAGAACUUUAAAAGUCUUAAUAAACAGAAACUUACUCAUAUUGCUGAUACAAAAAAGAAAAAAAUUCUUAUCUUCUACUUGUUAUCUCAUUAUCGGAUUGUUUUAUAAGGUAUUUCUCCUGCCUUCGUAGCAUGCCUCGGCACAUAUUCGGGAGGUCCAUGGUUCUAGUCGCGGAGAGGGCAUUGCUCGUUUUUCACGUCUCUCAGCUUCCAAAAAAAUCCUAAUGUCUCUACAAUGUCUUCUUCAAAAUAAACAAAUAAUCUGAUGGAA
rnacentral:lncRNA from 1 species